UGAGAUCACGGGUAAACACAAUUCCCAGGUGAGACCUGUCAUUCGCUUUUCUCUCGUUCCCCGUCCCCCGUCUGCGUCGCUGCGGCCUCCUCCCCCGACGUCCGCCUUGCCGACGCUCCUCCUCCGCCUGCGUCGCCGCCUCCUCUCCCCUCCACCUCGUAGGAUCCUUCUCCCUCUACAUCGCCCCCUCGUCCACCAACCGCAUCGCCGCCUCCAUCCCCGAUCCCAUCUCACCGGUCCUCCUCCCACCGCCUCGUCGGCCAAGAACGAUGGCUGAUCUACCACUAGAGUUAUAUCAUGAGAAGAGGAAGAAAAGGAAGCGGGCAACAGCUGGGUUCUUUAUUACCGUAGUUGCAGUAGCUCAACAUAUGUAUUGUAGGAGAAAGAUAGUUGAGCUUGGUGAUUUCAGUGAGGAAGAGGCCGAGACUAGAAUUAGGAGGCAAAUGCUUAGGAAUAUUUACCUGGGUCCAAAUCUAUAUUGCUAUGAUACUCUAAGGUUUACCAAAGGGUCCUUCUUUGACCUAUGUGCCAUGUUACGUGAAAGGACUGAAAGACACCUUUCAUGUGACUGUUGAAGAGGCUGUGACCAUUGUAUUGCUUGUACUUAGCCAUGGCAUGAAGUUUAGGUUGAUUCAUAGCACCUACAGGUUGACACUUGAGCCAAUUAGUAGACAUUUAAAUGAGGUGUUAGGACCCAUUCUUUCUUUAUCCCAUGAAAUCAUCAAGUUGCCAGAUCCUGGUACUGAACUACCUGAGGAUCACAAAUGGAGGUAGUUCCCCGAUGGGCAUGGAGCCUUAUAUGGCACACAUGUUGAUGUCCGUGUUCCGCUACGCAAGCAAGGUAGAUAUAGGAAUAUGAAGAAGGCCAUAACAACAAAUGUGUUGGGCGUCUGUGACCGCAACAUGAAGUUUGUUUAUGUGUUGGCUGGCUGGGAAGGUUCAGCGUCAGAUGGUAGAGUGCUGGGAGAUGCAAUGGAUAGAGAUGACUCUUUCAAAGUUACAAAUGGUAACUCCUAUCUUAGUAUGAUACAACUUUUGACUAGUUAUUUGCAUUUUUCAACUAAAAUCUAAUGUGGCCUAUUUUCAUAUACCUUAGGAAAAUACUACCUAGUAGAUGCUGGAUACACGAAUGGUCUAGGCUUCUUCGCUCCAUUUAGGAAUACAAGGUAUCACUUGAAAGUACAGCUGGGCAUGGGCAGCCCGGCCCGACCCAGCCCAAAAAUCCCGUGCUGGGCCUGGUCAGGCUUGCAUGUCGGGUCGGGUUCGGGCCUCAUUUCGGAGCCCGAACGUCAGGCCGACCCGGGCUCGAGCUUGCAGAAAACGGGAUUAUUUACACCUAGUUCGGGCCGGGCUUGUCGAGCCGGGCCGGGUUUUUCUCUGUUCGGGCCGGGUUCGGGCCUGAUUUCUAAGCCCUAAGGUCGGGCCGGGCCGGCUCAGGCCUAGGAAUUUUGGUUCGGGAUUUUUCGGGCCUGGUCUGAAACCCGGCCCGGCCCGAAGAAUGCCCAGGUGUACUUGAAAGAGUGGGCUGCCAAUGGGAAUAAUCCAGAAACUCCACAAGAGCUCUAUAACCGGCGGCAUGCAAUUGCUAGGAACUUAAUUGAGAGGAUUUGGGCUCUUAUAAAUAUGAGAUGGGCUACUCUAAGGGCUAGUUCAUUUUUUGGAAUAAAAAAUCAGAUUCGAGUAAUCAAUGCUUGUUGCAUAUUGCAUAACUUCCUAGCUGAUAGGCAAAGAGAGAUGGAUGAUGUGAUGUUGCAAGCAGUAGAUAAUCAGCUAAAUAAUGUUUUCAUUGAUGUGGAUGAACCUGAGAUUACCCACAUUGAGGUGACGAAGAUGACGUUUGGAACAAUUAUGCCAAGGCCAACAAAGAUGCAGCCUCGUAUAGGUACAAGGUCAUCAAGUAUUGGGACAUGAUCAAUACACUUUACAACAGAGACCGUGCUACGGGCGAGGGUGCAAGGACAACAAAUGAGAGCGCAGCUGAAAUGGCGGAGGAGAUUGCGAACACCACCGCAACCCAUAAACAUGCCAACUCCUCAACUAAGGAUGGCGAAGAUCGUCCAAAGAAGAGGUACCGAUCUGAUGACUCGAUUGCAACAAUGCUUGGAGAUAAAUUAGACAAUUUUACUACUGUGUUCAAAGGUGAUGCUCUUGAGCCACCACCAAAGCCAGCAGGUCCUGAAGAAAUAUGGGCUCUCCUUGGUGGAAUACCAGACCUAGAAGAUGAUCAGUUGUUGGCAAUAUAUGAUGUUCUAGUUGCCGAUGAUCGCAAGUUCAAGUCUCUAUUAGCACUGCCUGAAAGGAUGAAGAAGUGGGUUCUGAAGCAAAUAAGCACAUGAUUGAGAUACUCCUUUGUAAUGUGGCAGUCUACCUGGAACUUAUUUAAACUCUGGAACUUGUUUAAACUCUGGAACUUGUGAUGUAGCAGCCUUUGUGAUGUGCAAGUUUUCUAAA